AGGCGGUAGUGCCCAACACAUGCAAGUCGAACGGCAGCACAGUGAGAGCUUGCUCUCUGGGUGGCGAGUGGCGGACGGGUGAGGAAUACAUCGGAAUCUACUUUUUCGUGGGGGAUAACGUAGGGAAACUUACGCUAAUACCGCAUACGACCUACGGGUGAAAGCAGGGGAUCUUCGGACCUUGCGCGAUUGAAUGAGCCGAUGUCGGAUUAGCUAGUUGGCGGGGUAAAGGCCCACCAAGGCGACGAUCCGUAGCUGGUCUGAGAGGAUGAUCAGCCACACUGGAACUGAGACACGGUCCAGACUCCUACGGGAGGCAGCAGUGGGGAAUAUUGGACAAUGGGCGCAAGCCUGAUCCAGCCAUACCGCGUGGGUGAAGAAGGCCUUCGGGUUGUAAAGCCCUUUUGUUGGGAAAGAAAUCCAGCUGGCUAAUACCCGGUUGGGAUGACGGUACCCAAAGAAUAAGCACCGGCUAACUU
rnacentral:rRNA from 1 species